rnacentral:lncRNA from 1 species
AUUAGAUAAUUGAGUGCUGCCAACUCCUGUGAGGGCAGCAUGGCUUUGCUCAGCUGCUUCCAGCAACGGAGCACUGUGGCCGUGGGGGACUGUGUCCUCUCUCGUCCCUGCUCUUCAUCACCUGUCUAAGGUUUGUGAGGUGUACUUUGUGGCUUGGCUACUUAGAAGGAAACACAGAGGGACGCUGGAAUUAAUUUAAGCAACCAAAUUCAGAUGCCAGCUUGAGUGCCUGAGGCAGCUGAAGGAACUGGACCAGGCUAUCGUUCCUGAUGAAGCUUCCACUUCCUGCUGUAUAGGAGACCUCUUCCUGCCCCUGUGGCUGGGCAAGGUGGGAACAUUUAAGGCAACCUCACCAUCCUUGGGUUUGGAAGGAGGCGUGGGGACAUCGUUGUGUGAACGCUGCUCCCUAACACAAGCAGUUUCCCAGGAAAGAAAAGCUUGCAGCUCAUUCUGCUGAUUGCCAGACUUCAUUCCACUAUGCACAAUGAGAUAUACACUCCUGAACUUCUGUUAAGACCCUCCUGUUGGAAGUUCCCUGGAGCAGCAGUUUCUUGUGCCCAGCAGCGUGUGCUUAUAGACCCUACCAGGACAGAAAAGCACAACAGCUGAGUGUGUUUGAUGAACCUACACCAGACAUUAGGCUGAUGGUACCAACGACAGUAACCUCAGUGUUAUGGCACCUCAUCCCAAGAAGGCUUCCCAUCAUUGAAAUAUAUUCCCAUCAUUGAAAUAUCAUUGAAAUAUAUUUCUAAUGGAAAAUCUAUUUACUUCAGCACCGUGCCUGGGUUAUGAGGGAGGUUAUGAAACUGGCUGGGAGCACUAAGCCAGUGCAGGUCCUUCUGCCUUCCAGCUGAUACCACUGUACCCAGGAACAUGCUGCUGGCGCCCAAAAGCUAGCA